GGGCCAUUAUACAUAUACUUGUCUUCUUUGCCCCUACAAUGAGACUUGGAAGAAAACCAAAAAUUCAACAUGGUCUCCUGUGGUGAGCCUUGACAUAAGCACAGCCAUGAUUGAACUUUGAGUCACCUCGCUGGCACAGACGUGCCAUCGCCCAUAGCAACGGGCUAGUUCAACUGGUGGUCUGACCUGUUGCCUAGCAAAUGUAACCCAUAAUACUUGUUUUGUAGAGCAUUGUGACCUUUGCAGUCAGCUAUGCCCUAUUCACACUUUUCGUUUCGGUUUUAGCCUAUAUAUAUACUCCACCCUGAAAAAUAAACGGGGCCUUGCUACGAAGACAGCAUGAGCCUGGAACUAAGUCUGUGAGACUGUUUGCUCUCCUGUUGUUCUUCCCUCGGGUUUGGGACCUGCUGGCAGGAUUCUGACGUUGUGGCACACGACAAGUGGCACCCGAACAGGGACCUGAGUAAGAGGGACAUCGAGGAGAGCGCCCUGCGAUCCAGGGCACUACAACAAGAACCGCGACUGAUCCCCGCGGCUCCUGCCGCUUGAAGCUGGAUUUCCACUGAGGAGACCGGAUUGGGACCCCAACACUGCAGCAGCAGAGAAAACUCCAG
rnacentral:lncRNA from 1 species